AAGGGGUGGUGCUGUGGGAUAUUCUGUAUGCUAAAUGCGUUGCUCUGAUUGGUUAAUAAAUAAAACACUGAUUGGCCAGCAGCCAGGCAGGAAGUAUAGGUGGGACAAGGAG